GAUGAAGAACGCAGUGAAAUGCGAUAAGUAAUGUGAAUUGCAGAAUUCAGUGAAUCAUCGAAUCUUUGAACGCACCUUGCACCCUUUGGUAUUCCGAAGGGUAUGCUCGUUUGAGUGUCAUUGUACUCUCACACUUCUAAUUCCUUUCGGGAUUGGGAGCGGUGGACUUGGGUGUUGCUGCUUUAGUUGUGGCUCACCUCAAAUAAGUUAGUGCAACUCUUGGUUGGACAUAGUACGGCGUGAUAAGUGUCUUCGCCGGCGCCUCUGUAAGGAGGGUGGCCGAUCGGGAGCUCUGUGCUUCAAACCGUCUUCGGACAAUCUUUGACAACUUGACCUCAAAUCGAGUAGGACUACCCGCUGAACUUAAGCAUAUCAAUAAGCGGGGGA
rnacentral:misc_RNA from 1 species